rnacentral:rRNA from 1 species
UCGAUUUGGAGUUUGUUGCCUAGAGUGAUGGGCUCCGAAGCUAACGCGAUAAAUCGACCGCCUGGGGAGUACGGCCGCAAGGUUAAAACUCAAAUGAAUUGACGGGGGCCCGCACAAGCGGUGGAGCAUGUGGUUUAAUUCGAUGCAACGCGAAGAACCUUACCUGGUCUUGACAUCCACAGAAUCUUGCAGAGAUGCGAGAGUGCCUUCGGGAACUGUGAGACAGGUGCUGCAUGGCUGUCGUCAGCUCGUGUUGUGAAAUGUUGGGUUAAGUCCCGCAACGAGCGCAACCCUUGUCCUUUGUUGCCAGCGAUUCGGUCGGGAACUCAAAGGAGACUGCCGUUGAUAAAGCGGAGGAAGGUGGGGACGACGUCAAGUCAUCAUGGCCCUUACGACCAGGGCUACACACGUGCUACAAUGGCGUAUACAAAGGGAGGCGACCUCGCGAGAGCAAGCGGACCUCAUAAAGUACGUCUAAGUCCGGAUUGGAGUCUGCAACUCGACUCCAUGAAGUCGGAAUCGCUAGUAAUCGUGAAUCAGAAUGUCACGGUGAAUACGUUCCCGGGCCU